rnacentral:rRNA from 1 species
AACGAACGCUGGCGGCAUGCCUAACACAUGCAAGUCGAACGAGACCUUCGGGUCUAGUUGCGCACGGGUGCGUAACGCGUGGGAACCUGCCCUUAGGUUCGGAAUAACUCCCCGAAAGGGGUGCUAAUACCGGAUAAUUUCUUCUGACCAAAGAUUUAUCGCCUUUGGAUGGGCCCGCGUUGGAUUAGCUAGUUGGUAGGGUAAAAGCCUACCAAGGCGACGAUCCAUAGCUGGUCUGAGAGGAUGAUCAGCCACACUGGGACUGAGACACGGCCCAGACUCCUACGGGAGGAAGAAGUGGGGAAUAUUGGACAAUGGGCGAAAGAAUGAUCCAGCAAUGCCGCGUGAGUGAUGAAGGACUUAGGGUUGUAAAGCUCUUUUACCCGGGAUGAUAAUGACAGUACCGGGAGAAUAAGCUCCGGCUAACUCCGUG